rnacentral:rRNA from 1 species
CUUGGUCAUUUAGAGGAAGUAAAAGUCGUAACAAGGUCUCCGUAGGUGAACCUGCGGAGGGAUCAUUAACGAAUGGCCUUCCAACCCUUCAAACCUGUGGAAGCCAGCCUGUGCUUCGGCGCUCGUGCGUCGCUUUUAUGACGUCCUCAGCUUCAGUGUCUGAAUGUAAAUAAUGAAAAUGAAAACUUUCAACAAAGGAUCUCUUGGCUCUCGCAUCGAUGAAGAACGCAGCGAAGCGCGAAAUGUAGUGUGAAUCGCAGAACAUUGUGAAUCAUCGAGUCUUUGAACGCACAUUGCGCCUCCCUUAACGAGGAGGCAUGCCUGUCUGAGCGUCAUUCAAAACAAAUAGGCCAGCUUAGGCUUGUGAUGGGCCCUCGCCCCUGGGUAAAAUGGGGGCGUUGCCUGAAAGGUAUCAGUUUGACUGAACGGACGAGAUCCUUUAGGACCUACCGUUUGGAGACUUCUAUGACACAUCUGACAUGACCUCAGAUCAGGUAGGACCACCGCCUGAACUUAAGCAUAUCAAUAAGGCGAGGAACAGAAACCAACAGGGAUUCCCCCAGUAGUGGCGAACGAAGCGGGAAAAGCUCAAGUUUGAAAUCUGGCGGGUGACCUCCAGAGUUGUAAGCUGAAGAGGCGUUGGCCGACGAGGUCUGGGCUCAAUUUCCUUGGAACAGGAGGUCAUGGAGGGUGAGAACCCCGUCUAUGGCUCGGGUGCCUUUGUCUUAGUGCCUCGUCCUCAAAGAGUCGGGUUGUUUGGGAAUGCAGCUCAAAAUGGGUGGUAAAUUUCAUCUAAAGCUAAAUAUUGGCGAGAGACCGAUAGCGGACAAGUAGAGUGAUCGAAAGAUGAAAAGUACUUUGAAAAGAGAGUGAAAUAGUACGUGAAAUUGUUGAAAGGGAAGCGUUUGGCAUCAGCCCAUGACGUCAGUUGAUCAUCCAGGCUUCUGCCUGGUGCACUCUUCAGACGUUGGGCCAGCGUCGGCUUUGCCCACCGGAGAAAGGUCCUGGGAAUGUGCCUCCCUCUUGGGAGUUUUAUAACCCUAGUCGUCAUACGGUGAGGCGGUGUCGAGGUCCGCGGUUCUUACCUAGGACGCUGGCGUAAUGGUUCCAAGCGACCCGUCUUGAAACACGGACC